UCCUGGCUCAGAUUGAACGCUGGCGGCAUGCCUUACACAUGCAAGUCGAACGGCAGCACGGGUGCUUGCACCUGGUGGCGAGUGGCGAACGGGUGAGUAAUAUAUCGGAACAUACCCUAGAGUGGGGGAUAACGUAGCGAAAGUUACGCUAAUACCGCAUACGAACUAAGGUUGAAAGUGGGGGAUCGCAAGACCUCAUGCUCAUGGAGUGGCCGAUAUCUGAUUAGCUAGUUGGUGAGGUAAAGGCUCACCAAGGCGACGAUCAGUAGCUGGUUUGAGAGAACGACCAGCCACACUGGAACUGAGACACGGUCCAGACUCCUACGGGAGGCAGCAGUGGGGAAUUUUGGACAAUGGGGGCAACCCUGAUCCAGCAAUGCCGCGUGAGUGAAGAAGGCCCUCGGGUUGUAAAGCUCUUUUGUCAGGGAAGAAACGGUCUACUCUAAUACAGUGGGCUAAUGACGGUACCUGAAGAAUAAGCACCGGCUAACUACGUGCCAGCAGCCGCGGUAAUACGUAGGGUGCAAGCGUUAAUCGGAAUUACUGGGCGUAAAGCGUGCGCAGGCGGUUUUAUAAGACAGAGGUGAAAUCCCCGGGCUCAACCUGGGAACUGCCUUUGUGACUGUAAGGCUAGAGUGUGUCAGAGGGGGGUAGAAUUCCACGUGUAGCAGUGAAAUGCGUAGAUAUGUGGAGGAAUACCGAUGGCGAAGGCAGCCCCCUGGGAUAACACUGACGCUCAUGCACGAAAGCGUGGGGAGCAAACAGGAUUAGAUACCCUGGUAGUCCACGCCCUAAACGAUGUCUACUAGUUGUCGGGACUUAAUUGUCUUGGUAACGCAGCUAACGCG
rnacentral:rRNA from 1 species